CAUCUCGCAAUUUCUUGGUGAACUGUGUAAUUGGUUUUUUCUACAUUUAAUACUCUAUACAUGUGUCCAAACAUUUCACGUGACAUUGUGAAAAAAUUUGUUUGGGAACUAGACAAACCCUAACUGUUGAUGUUGCGGACAGCAGAAGCAAAGUCGGGCAUACGAUGUACUGUAUCAUAGUAACUGUAUCUUGGAGCGGAUCAGGAAUGAGAACUCUAUUUCUUGAAGUAUGAUGAGCUAGAACUAGGGCCAUCAAUGAUAGUGGGGCCAGCAGCUGAUGGGGCCACAACUUGCAAAUGUACAACGGAUCUCGAAAAGUUUCGUCCCGAUAGUUUAAAAAUGGAUAAUAGGUCAUUCAGCGUAUCAUUAACAAAAUAAUAAUAACAGCAAAAUAAUAAUAACUUAUAUAUAAAACUUUUAUAUAUGUAUUUUAGUGACUUAAAAUACCAAUACUGAAAAAUAAACUUCGAUGAACAAACUUCAAAUAUUAUAUUUAAGUUUUAAAAUUUAAAUUUUAGCGGCGACUAAUGCUGUAUGGAGAAAACGAUGGGGCCUUUCUUCUCCAGAAAGUUUUAUUUUUGUUGUUGAAUGGCCGAAUUGUUACAAAAUAGUUCGGAACAGAACAAUAUAUUUUUGUAGGAAAAAUACACAGGGAAUGUGCAAAAUUUACUAAACAGACAAUAUGUUUCCGUUGAACAAAGGUAGUUUGUUAACUUUUUUUCUAAGAGAAACAUUAGUGUGCCGUCGGUGUGUUUUGACCACAGAAACUGAAUGAAAUAUUUAGUUCGAUAACUGCAGCGUAUAAUCGAUUUUGGUGGGACCCACAAAAAUAAAUCUCAAUCCCACCUCUAUCCACUCCUCUCCUCUCGCGACCAGCCGGAAAAUUCCGCAUGCGCACGUUCUCGUUUUCCCUCGUUCCCCUUCCUUUGCCCUCUCCCUGCCCAAACAUUCCAAAGCUCCAAUCCGGUGAUAAUCUCUCCCUGCCCAAACAUUCCAAAGCUCCAAUCCGGUGAUAAUCUAGAAAUUAACCCAUGGAGGAGAGCAGAUCAGGUCAACCAGCUAUGGAUCCAACUAGAUCGGAUCCUUCGCGGUGCUCGUGUGGCUCGUGCUCGUGCUCAUGUGGGCUGUUGCACAUGAUGCCAUGGAAUCAGUAUGCCGCCGCAUACGGCGCCGCUGCAAGCUGGCUCCAGCGGUUGUGUUGGCGAGUUUGCUUCUCGUUGGCACGGUCGUGCAUCAACGAGGUCAUGGAGCGCAGGAGAUAAGCUCCCGAGUCCCACCAGUGCUAUAAAUAGAAGAACCGUAGAGAGGAGUGAAUGCUCUAAUCUCUCGCCAAACCCUAAAGCCGUGACGCUAUCUCAGCCAACGGCGUGAAGAAGGAAAGCAAAGCCGAAGGAAGAAGAAGAAAAGGCAAGAAGAAAAACAGAGGAAUCAAUUUCAAUGGCUUCUAGUGCAGGUCAGUAGAUUAAUUUGUAAUUCGAGUAAAUGUAAUUGCUUAUAAGCUAAAGUAAUAAGAUCCUGUAAUUUAGAACUCCAACAUUGUGGUAUCAGAGCUGAUCUUUUACCUAA